CACAAAUCUGUUCUUAAUCUUUUCUCCCCCUCUCUCCUCGCCCAAAAACCAUGAUCAUUAUCCCAAGGCAUCUUGCUAAAUACACCUUCUAGUUUUCUAAAUUAACUCCCUUUCUUCUUAUUAAAGUUUUUAUUACCAACUAUACCCUUUAAACCCUAUUUAUACACAGCCCACAAUUUUUUCUUUCUCUUCUUCCCAUCAAAGUGCCCACCACCAUCGAAAGCCAUGUUGACCUCCAUUCCAUCGCCGGCAUUGAUUCUCAGACGGUAAAAUUGGCUUCGUUCAACCACAAAAUUGGGAUCAAUCAUUGCCCCAUUGAUUCUCAAAGGAGGAUCUCCUACUAAUUGAAUCCUUUUAUUCUCAAGAUGAUCAAGAAUCACUGUUAACGGAAAAAAAAAAAUCAAAUCCAAAAAAAUGGAAACCAAAUUUGCACAAAACAAAACUGGAUGUGCACAAAAACAAACCAAAUCUGCCAAAAUUGGAGCCAAAUUUGCACAAAAUGAAACCAAAUCCAAAUAUUUUUUACCCUUAAUUUUGAAAGAGCACCUUUCAUAAUUCAGACUUGCAUUUUUUCACGAAGAGACACAUAUUUUCAUGAAGAGGCACAACUGUGGUUUUAAAUUGCGGUUGCGGUUGUUGUUGCGUUGUGGCAAGUCAGAAAACCUUUAUAUUGUGGGAUAUGCGGCCUCGACCACAAUUGCGGUUGUGGUGAUUCAAAGUACCUUGACAUUGUGGCCGCAAUUGUGGUUGUGGAACGCUAUUUAAAACCAUGGACAGAACAACCUUUCAUUAUUUUCAAAAUCUCUUACACACAAACACCUAUAUUUUUUCUAUGCGGUUGAACUCCCCUGUCCCUCUCUAAUCAAGUACUGGACUAUUGCUCAUUUGUUUACUUUUACAUGUGUGCAAGCAUUAUCUGUAUAUAUGAAUGUCAAUAAGCUCCAUUUGUGCAGCAUUCCCUUCAUACAAAUCCACUAUCCAUCCAAGGAGCUUCUUCAGCACUGGUGCCAGUGGAUUUGAAUGAAGGCACUGUUGAUGCAAAGGAAAAUGUGCAAAAUGGAGAAAUGCUACACAUACAAUCCAGCUUCCGACAUUCCCAGAAACUGGAAGAUGAUCUACGCAUGUUAGGGACGAAAAUUAAGCAGCAUGAGAACAACCUAUAUCAUUUGAACUCUGAAAAAAGCAAAUUAGAUGACUCUAUUCUUCAUUUGCAAGUUACUAUUGGGAAAUCAGAUUCUUCAAGUAAGGCCACAAUUGGUGAUAUGGACAAUCCCAACCCUACAAAUGAUGAGGAAGUGAAUAAACAGAUAUUGCAGCAUGAAAAAUCUGCUGCUGGUAUUUUGUGCCAGCUUAGGAUUCAUCAUGGAGCUCAGGCUUCUCAUCUUACAUUGACAAAGGAUGUUGUGGGUAUUGUUGCUACUCUGGGCAAAGUUGAGGAUGACAUUCUUAGCAGACUUUUCUCGGAGUAUCUAGGAGUGGAGACUAUGCUGGCAAUUGUUUGCAGAACUUAUGAAGGGGUUAAAGCUCUUGAAAUGUAUGAUAAGGAAGGAUGCAUAAAUAAAAGUUUUGGUCUUCGUAGGCUAGGUGCCUCUAUUGGAAGGGCUUUGGAUGGUCGAUUUCUAGAGAUAUGUCUUGAAUAUCUGAGGCAUGCCUUCUAGAGUCUUGUGUUUAUGCCUUUCAUUUGUGGUUGUGGAUAAGUUAGUUUUUUCUUCUUUUUUUUUUAAACUUUUUCAUUUUGUAUGUUUUAGGCCUUAUGCUGGUAAUUACGUGCUUGAGGAUGCACAACGGAAGUUGGAUAUUUUAAUCCCAAGAUUGCCCAAUGGGGAGCUUCCAUCUGGAUUUCUUGGUUAUGCAGUGACUAUGAUUAAUUUAGAUAGCUCAAACCUAUUUUGUGUUACUCCCAGUGGUUAUGGCCUCAGAGAAACUCUGUUUUAUAAUCUCUUUUCUUGUCUACAAGUAUAUAAGACAAAGGCUAAAAUGAUACAAGCACUUCCUUGCAUAAGUGAAGGAGCUCUUUCUUUAGAUGGAGGAAUGGUUAGGAGUUGUGGUGUAUUUUCCUUGGGCAAUAGCUAAGAGUAUGAAUGGCAAAUUUUUAGUUAUACAUCAUGUGUAAUCUAUGUCUCUCUCUCUCUCUCUUUAUCUUUUGAGAAUUAUAUGCAGGUUGAAACCUUAAAUUAUGCCAUCCUGGGAAUGGGAAUAACUUUGGUGUUCUCCAUUUUAAGAAGAAAACAGAAGAUAUUGAUGGGAGAAUAAUCUUUCGUGCAAUUGUAUACCACAGAAAUCUUUUCAAUUUCUUAAGAUGGAAGAUGUUGAUGUGAGAUUCCCCCGACCAGAAAGAUCAAUGGGGCUUGAUAACCACCACAUUGACAUUGAGAGACAAUUGAAAGAUGAAGUUCAAUUACAAUAAAAAGAAGGCUGACUAUCUCAAGUAUUUGGCGCAAAGUUCAUCAGAUGCAACUCAGGCUCAGAUUGCUCCUGACAGAUUUGCAUGUAGAUGAUUGAAUCAUGGUUGACAGCAUACAAUGAAGAAGAGAGCCUGUGGCUGGCAACUUGUUUUUGUUCUUGAGCUUGUAGCUAUAUCCAUUUUGUAAUCUAGUUCUGGAAGGAGAAUUUUCUCAUUUUGAGUUCUUAAAUUGGAAGAUAAAUUUUGGAUAGUAAAACAAGUUCAUUGAUUUUUGAGGCUGGAGACCUUUCUUCAGUUAAGGCUUUAUUCUUCUUCAAGUUUUGCUGUAAAGCAAAAUCAGAUUAGCCUUCAUGACACCUGUGUAAGAUUUACCUUUCAGUUUGCAUGGUUACCCUUCUAGACCAGACAUACAAGGUUGGACAACCUUUUUCUUGGUUCCUUGUAUACCCUGUUAUCUCAUAGUACUCAUGUAUUGAGUGUUGGUUAGAGGCUGUGAAUAUUGUACAUCUCUGUUAACUAAUUUUUUCCCCAUGGUUUUAAAAAAUCCAUUUAAC